CUUGGAGGUUGUGGCCUUGAGCCGUGGCUUUCGGAGCUAACGCGUUAAGUAGACCGCCUGGGGAGUACGGUCGCAAGAUUAAAACUCAAAUGAAUUGACGGGGGCCCGCACAAGCGGUGGAGCAUGUGGUUUAAUUCGAUGCAACGCGAAGAACCUUACCUACUCUUGACAUCCAGAGAACUUAGCAGAGAUGCUUUGGUGCCUUCGGGAACUCUGAGACAGGUGCUGCAUGGCUGUCGUCAGCUCGUGUCGUGAGAUGUUGGGUUA
rnacentral:rRNA from 1 species